UACGAAGGGGCUAGCGUUGCUCGGAAUCACUGGGCGUAAAGCGCACGUAGGCGGAUCUUUAAGUCAGGGGUGAAAUCCUGGAGCUCAACUCCAGAACUGCCUUCGAUACUGGCGAGCUCGAGUUCGGGAGAGGUGAGUGGAACUGCGAGUGUAGAGGUGAAAUUCGUAGAUAUUCGCAAGAACACCAGUGGCGAAGGCGGCUCACUGGCCCGAUACUGACGCUGAGGUGCGAAAGCGUGGGGAGCAAACAGG
rnacentral:rRNA from 1 species